GCCUAAGAUCGCACCUCCCUAUCCACCCCGCCCGACCGCUCUCCACGCCCACCCUCGGCCAGAAGAAGUUAGCUGAGGGCGCUGGGAAACGGGAAACGACGUUUGCCACCACCGCCGGUGAAUGGAGCCACUUCUGUGCUCCGGACGUGGGGAUGGCGCAGCCUACCGGCCAAAGAAAGAAGAAACUGCUGGCCGCUGCCUCCCUCGCUGAAGGGGUGGGCUGCGUUCUUCAGGAGCUAGAGACCAGGCUGGGGUUGUGCGGGGAGAGCUCCUGUCGUCAGACCCCGCAGAGGGCAGUACCUCCGGUGGAGUUUCUCCCCUCACUAGAGAGGACCCCACAGCAGCUGCAGCCAGCAGAGUGAUUUGGAGAUCGGGGGUCAAGGAGAUGCUGGUUCUGGGGAGAAGCACCACAGUAGUGGGAGAUAACUUCCCUCCAGACUGCUGGGGAAGGAGGAGUUGUUACAGUCACAGAGCCAGCGCUGCCCUGCAAGUUCACACAGAGCCUUCUGCAGUCCUGGCAGCCACCUUCUCCGGGGAAGACAUCCCUGCCCCACUUAAAGAUAAGGUCUAGAAACUCAGGCAACAUUCUUAAAACAAUCAUGUUUCCAUAUGUGAGUACAACACUAAUAAAGAUGUGAUAAGUAAAGAACAUUUUGUGAUCACCUUUAAAU
rnacentral:lncRNA from 1 species